rnacentral:rRNA from 1 species
CGCCUUGCCAGCCCGCUCAGAACCUCAAAGGAAUUGACGGGGGCCCGCACAAGGCAGCGGAGCAUGUGGUUUAAUUCGAAGCAACGCGAAGAACCUUACCAAGACUUGACAUCCCCUGACAGCUGUUGAAAGGCAGUGUCUCUUCGGAGCAGGGAGACAGGUGGUGCAUGGUUGUCGUCAGCUCGUGUCGUGAGAUGUUGGGUUAAGUCCCGCAACGAGCGCAACCCUUGUCCUUAGUUACCAGCACGUUAUGGUGGGCACUCUAAGGAGACUGCCGGUGACAAACCGGAGGAAGGUGGGGAUGACGUCAAGUCAUCAUGGCCCUUACGGCCUGGGCUACACACGUGCUACAAUGGUCGGUACAAAGGGUUGCCAAGCCGCGAGGUGGAGCUAAUCCCAUAAAACCGAUCGUAGUCCGGAUCGCAGUCUGCAACUCGACUGCGUGAAGUCGGAAUCGCUAGUAAUCGUGAAUCAGAAUGUCACGGUGAAUACGUUCCCGGGCCUU